CUUCAGACUGUGUCGAUCAUCAUCUCCAUAAAACCAACCCCUAGCUUGGCAAUCAGUGGCUCCAAGCCCAAGGGUAAAAAAGACAACAUGUACGGAAUAAUCAUAAGCGGACUGAUCCCGAUGGCGGAACACCAACACCACCAUUAUAAUCUAUGUGGUGCCCGCGCCGCCGGGUAGAAUUGGAUAACUUGCAUAUUGUGGAUCCUCCAGCAAGCAGGAUAUCCAGAAGCCGAUGAGGAUGGGAGGGGGGCCCCCAUUAUUGGCUGGUUCGUGGUUUCAGAUUUGGUUUUGGGAUAUCCAGACGGGAGAAAACAAUAAACAGAAAACCUGGCGAGCAGUGGCUUCGCAGGAAUAAUGAAUGAGGAAGU
rnacentral:sRNA from 1 species